rnacentral:rRNA from 1 species
AGAUUAAGUUAUUAAGGGCGCACGGUGGAUGCCUUGGCACUAGAAGCCGAUGAAGGACGUUACUAACGACGAUAUGCUUUGGGGAGCUGUAAGUAAGCUUUGAUCCAGAGAUUUCCGAAUGGGGAAACCCAGCAUGAGUUAUGUCAUGUUAUCGAUAUGUGAAUACAUAGCAUAUCAGAAGGCACACCCGGAGAACUGAAACAUCUUAGUACCCGGAGGAAGAGAAAGAAAAUUCGAUUCCCUUAGUAGCGGCGAGCGAAACGGGAAGAGCCCAAACCAACAAGCUUGCUUGUUGGGGUUGUAGGACACUCUAUACGGAGUUACAAAGGACGACAUUAGACGAAUCAUCUGGAAAGAUGAAUCAAAGAAGGUAAUAAUCCUGUAGUCGAAAAUGUUGUCUCUCUUGAGUGGAUCCUGAGUACGACGGAGCACGUGAAAUUCCGUCGGAAUCUGGGAGGACCAUCUCCUAAGGCUAAAUACUCUCUAGUGACCGAUAGUGAACCAGUACCGUGAGGGAAAGGUGAAAAGCACCCCGGAAGGGGAGUGAAAUAGAACCUGAAACCGUGUGCUUACAAGUAGUCAGAGCCCGUUAAUGGGUGAUGGCGUGCCUUUUGUAGAAUGAACCGGCGAGUUACGAUUUGAUGCAAGGUUAAGCAGUAAAUGUGGAGCCGUAGCGAAAGCGAGUCUGAAUAGGGCGUUUAGUAUUUGGUCGUAGACCCGAAACCAGGUGAUCUACCCUUGGUCAGGUUGAAGUUCAGGUAACACUGAAUGGAGGACCGAACCGACUUACGUUGAAAAGUGAGCGGAUGAACUGAGGGUAGCGGAGAAAUUCCAAUCGAACCUGGAGAUAGCUGGUUCUCUCCGAAAUAGCUUUAGGGCUAGCCUCAAGUGAUGAUUAUUGGAGGUAGAGCACUGUUUGGACGAGGGGCCCCUCUCGGGUUACCGAAUUCAGACAAACUCCGAAUGCCAAUUAAUUUAACUUGGGAGUCAGAACAUGGGUGAUAAGGUCCGUGUUCGAAAGGGAAACAGCCCAGACCACCAGCUAAGGUCCCAAAAUAUAUGUUAAGUGGAAAAGGAUGUGGCGUUGCCCAGACAACUAGGAUGUUGGCUUAGAAGCAGCCAUCAUUUAAAGAGUGCGUAAUAGCUCACUAGUCGAGUGACACUGCGCCGAAAAUGUACCGGGGCUAAACAUAUUACCGAAGCUGUGGAUUGUCCUUUGGACAAUGGUAGGAGAGCGUUCUAAGGGCGUUGAAGCAUGAUCGUAAGGACAUGUGGAGCGCUUAGAAGUGAGAAUGCCGGUGUGAGUAGCGAAAGACGGGUGAGAAUCCCGUCCACCGAUUGACUAAGGUUUCCAGAGGAAGGCUCGUCCGCUCUGGGUUAGUCGGGUCCUAAGCUGAGGCCGACAGGCGUAGGCGAUGGAUAACAGGUUGAUAUUCCUGUACCACCUAUAAUCGUUUUAAUCGAUGGGGGGACGCAGUAGGAUAGGCGAAGCGUGCGAUUGGAUUGCACGUCUAAGCAGUAAGGCUGAGUAUUAGGCAAAUCCGGUACUCGUUAAGGCUGAGCUGUGAUGGGGAGAAGACAUUGUGUCUUCGAGUCGUUGAUUUCACACUGCCGAGAAAAGCCUCUAGAUAGAAAAUAGGUGCCCGUACCGCAAACCGACACAGGUAGUCAAGAUGAGAAUUCUAAGGUGAGCGAGCGAACUCUCGUUAAGGAACUCGGCAAAAUGACCCCGUAACUUCGGGAGAAGGGGUGCUCUUUAGGGUUAACGCCCAGAAGAGCCGCAGUGAAUAGGCCCAAGCGACUGUUUAUCAAAAACACAGGUCUCUGCUAAACCGUAAGGUGAUGUAUAGGGGCUGACGCCUGCCCGGUGCUGGAAGGUUAAGAGGAGUGGUUAGCUUCUGCGAAGCUACGAAUCGAAGCCCCAGUAAACGGCGGCCGUAACUAUAACGGUCCUAAGGUAGCGAAAUUCCUUGUCGGGUAAGUUCCGACCCGCACGAAAGGCGUAACGAUUUGGGCACUGUCUCAACGAGAGACUCGGUGAAAUCAUAGUACCUGUGAAGAUGCAGGUUACCCGCGACAGGACGGAAAGACCCCGUGGAGCUUUACUGUAGCCUGAUAUUGAAAUUCGGCACAGCUUGUACAGGAUAGGUAGGAGCCUUUGAAACGUGAGCGCUAGCUUACGUGGAGGCGCUGGUGGGAUACUACCCUAGCUGUGUUGGCUUUCUAACCCGCACCACUUAUCGUGGUGGGAGACAGUGUCAGGCGGGCAGUUUGACUGGGGCGGUCGCCUCCUAAAAGGUAACGGAGGCGCUCAAAGGUUCCCUCAGAAUGGUUGGAAAUCAUUCAUAGAGUGUAAAGGCAUAAGGGAGCUUGACUGCGAGACCUACAAGUCGAGCAGGGUCGAAAGACGGACUUAGUGAUCCGGUGGUUCCGCAUGGAAGGGCCAUCGCUCAACGGAUAAAAGCUACCCCGGGGAUAACAGGCUUAUCUCCCCCAAGAGUUCACAUCGACGGGGAGGUUUGGCACCUCGAUGUCGGCUCAUCGCAUCCUGGGGCUGUAGUCGGUCCCAAGGGUUGGGCUGUUCGCCCAUUAAAGCGGUACGCGAGCUGGGUUCAGAACGUCGUGAGACAGUUCGGUCCCUAUCCGUCGUGGGCGUAGGAAAUUUGAGAGGAGCUGUCCUUAGUACGAGAGGACCGGGAUGG